rnacentral:lncRNA from 1 species
UUGUAGCUGACCAUCGAACAGCCUAGCGAUCGAUUAUUGAAGACGCUAAUCAAUCGACACACACUUUGUGUUGUCGAUCGACAUCGAAGCGCGAAAAUGCCAGAUUUGGUUCCAACUGACUUUAAGCUCAAGUCCCACAAGAAUUACCGGAUUCUCCCUGACGAGUUUUAACCUAAUAUUUAUGUGCUUUGCCAUUGUUCUAGGCAACACACGUUUUCUACACUUUCAUACUUUCUUACAGCAAAAUACUUAGAAUCUUAGGUUUGGAGAGAAGAUCCAAGAACUCCUUCAGAGAUUUGUGAUUGGAACUCCAAGUUUUUCUACUCUUAUCUAUUUAUGCAGUUUUCAUAUUUAUUUGUUAUGAAUUGCUUGGCUAUGUCUGAUUAGUUCUCUUUGUUAGAUUUAUGGUUCAGAUAUUCAUAAGGGAUUAGCCCAAAAUAUAGAAUUACUAAGUGUUAGAAUAUCUAUCAAUUAAAAUGUUCUUAAUGCUUUUGUUCUAAAAUAGCUAAUUAGGACAUUGCCUAUAGAUAUUAGGGCGAAAGCGAAAGCUUGGUUCUUUUCAUAUCUGUUUCAAAACCCAAUCAAUCAACCGAGCAAUUACUUUGUUCAAACCACUGCUAUUUACAUUUAAACCUAGGUGAUGAUUGUUUGGGGUAGUUUUUAGUUUUUGUUUUUGGUUUUUAGAUUUUGGUUUUAGUUUUUGGUUUUUGGUUUUUAGCUUUUUAUUUUUGAUUUUCAGCUUUUUGUUUUGGUUUUUGGUUUUUAGAUUUUGAUUUUGAUUUUGGUUUUUGGUUUUGGUGUAGUUUUUAAGUUUAUCAAAAAAGCAAGUAAUACAUUAUUUUAAAAUAAUACAACAAAAAGACAAAUUAAACAUUUAGAAGUUACUAUUAAAACUGAUCAAAAUAUUGUGAUUCUUAUUUAAAACAUAAAAAUACAUUACCGUGUUUUUAAUUACUAUAUUUUUUUAAUACAUUAUACUAAAAUAUAAAUCAUAAAUAUAUCUAAAUUAUUUUUAUUUUUUAAAACUUGAAUGGAAACUUUCUAUUUUAAAAAUUAAUAUAUUAUAUUUGGUUAUUAAAAAAUAUUUUAUGUUUUUAUAAUUUUUAGUUAUUUUUGAAUGUCUAAUAAAUUAUUCAAUAAUUAUAUUUAUAGAAUUUAAUAACUAGUAUUUACAAUUAGUUUACACUUUGUUAGUAUUAUAAAUAAAUAUCUAAAUUUAUUUUACAUAUAUGAAAUAAAAAUAAAUUAUUUCACAUUAUUAAAACAAAAUUACUUAAACAAAAAGAUAGAAAGUAUAUACAUCUA